CUCUUGUUUUAAAAUUCAUAUUCUAGGUAUGCAAAUGAAUUUGUUGAAAUAUUAGGGGUCUGUCAGAAUUUGGAGAGACUUAAGUUUCAUGUGAGAACACAGGUACAUAGUAUCAUAUCACAUGGGUUCUUGGCACAAAGCUCUGGUAAUUUAUUUUAUUCCUAUCCGAUAGUAAUUUCCUUUUUUUUUUUUUUUUCUGUUUGUUUUCCCUUUUAGUGUCUAGCCAAGUUUUUAUGCAGUGUCUGUCCCUUUGGUACUUGGAUAAGGACAUAAAAUGUCUGUAUUGGCCAGCUCCUGGUGCCGUGACUGUAAGAACUGAGUUAAGCCUGGAGUAACAACUUUCUGGAAUACCGUUACAAUAUCCAGUAAUAUGUAGCUCAAGGACUUCAUGAGCUGAAGGAGGAAAAUAAAUACUUCCCUCUCUCAAGCAAAUGCUGAGAGGCUCGGAUGGAAACUACUAGAGAAGGAGAAAGCACUGUGUUGUGUUAUUAGCCCCGUUAAUCCAGGCUUCCUUUGCUGAAGACAAGUCCUUUAAAAGGAUUCAGUUUUGCUAUGAUUCUAUUCAGUGAGCCCCUCCUUGCUCCUCUGGGUAUCUUUUCUCCCCUUCGGUUGCCUGCAGCUGGAAAAGCUAUAUCACAUUCUGCUUCUUCUGUGAAAUCCAAGACAGAGUAUUUAAGGUGAGCUUGAUGUUAGAAGAAUAUCAGAA
rnacentral:lncRNA from 1 species